AGCCUAUGAUGAGUAAAGAAUAAGAGUAGUGGACAGAAGGGAUUUCUGAGCAAUUUGAUUCUGAGGCU